GCAGGAUGAAGCACGUAUCAUAUUAACAGCUUAAGGUAUUUUCAACAAAAUGUUAAUGAGUCCAUACCUAGAGUUUUUUUUUAUUGAAUUCGUUGAACUUAUAAUUGAAUGAACAAGAGAUCAAAGUGAUUGGAAUUCAUCAUCAUUAUCAUAAUUUUCAAAAUUAGAAUACGACCAAAUAUUCCAUUUCGAUAUUAUAUAGAUAAUGGCGCGUAAAUGAGAUGAUAGGAUCCAAAUAGGGCGGAAGUAAUGGAAUUUUGAUUAGGAGUCAAGAAUGUAGACAAGAAUCACACUAAAAUCAAUAACUACAUGGAAAUUUAUCAAUCUUUAUUCCACAUAGAAACGAGGCAAUAUUUUUAGAGUAUUUUAGUACAAAUAUGUCCAAUUUUCUGCUUUUGAAUGUGGCAAUUUUCUAAAUCUUAGGUAGUCCGUUCUUGCCCAAAUGGUCCGUUGUAAAAGUCAAAUGAUCCGCUCUAAAUCGGAAAAUGGUCCGUAAGUCUUCAUUUGUUUGAUCAUGUUUUGACCUUUUCCUAAGCAUUUUUUCGAAAUUUAUUCUUUCAGAAUGACUGAAUUUAAACCAUUUUUUCCGAACACUUUAUUUCCCAUAUAAAUGUUUUAAUUUUUCGAACACUUGGUAGAGAACGAGUUAAAUUUCGACAUAUUGGUAGACAGCGAAAUAGCAAACACAGAGCCGUAUCCAGAGUGGUGCGGAGUAUGCUCAGCAUGCCCAAAAAUUGCCUGAGCAUGCCCGAAGCAUGCUCGACUCAGAAAAAAAUUGUAUUAUUCUACAAUUUAUAUGCAAAAUUCAAAUGAAAUUAGCUCAGCUAUCAAUAAUAAGAACAACCAGUCGAUUAUUAUAAUUUCAAGAGCAAGAAGCAAGCUAUAUCCAAAAUGCAAUGUACAAUAUAUCGUUCACUCACUAUUGUUUAGUCUCAUGCCCAAGCCUCGAUUUCAUGUAUUACUUUACAUUAAAGCCGUCAAAUGACUGCUGCUAGCGACGUCUCACUGCGACAACGUUAACUACAGUAUACACCGUGCAAUUCUUCUUCUUCUUAACUUAUGCCACUUUUUUCUGUUGUGAGUAUGAAGCUUACGUUGUCGCAGUGAGAUCACCAUAUGGAAAAAGAAAUCAAGACUCGCUCAUGCCAUUUGGAUUGUUCACACAAUGUACUGUGGCUUAUCUUCCAUGUAUUUACAUAAUCGCAAUAUUGUCGCGUCAGCAGAUUUGCGAUCAACAGUUCAAUCAGCUGAUAAACAAACUGCUUAAAAAAUUUCAAAGAAUUCUGUGUUUGCAAUUCAAUGCAUUAUGUCAACUGUUUUAACGGUAUAUGACUUAAUGAAUACAAUCGCUUGCUCAUGAUUAAUCAUAAUCGAUCGGCGUUCUGGCUGCUGCCGAAAAUUGAGCGAACUUCAUUUGAGUUUCAAUUGUUGAAUUGCAAACAUUGUGUUCGAAAUGAAUAAAAAAUUAAAACAAGAGACUAUUGUUGGUCUCUUCCAGAGAAAUGCAAAUGCCGCCGUUGAAUCCGCUUCGACUUCAAGUGCUUCAGACAUAUUAUCACGAAAUAACGCUCCAGAAAUAGCUUCAAACAGUGAUCAACCAGUCUCUGAUAAUGCAAGUGAACGAGAUAAAGUGGCGAAUAUCGACUACCACAAUAUUUAAAUGAUUACAUUUCGGGUUUGAGCACCAAAGAUGAGCCGCGAAAAGAGGUAGAAAAUGCGUUCAAUCAAAACUAUUCAGAAAAUUCUUUCUGAAAUGGAACGACGUUUUGAAGAAAACAAUGAAAUAUUGUUAGCAUUGAGCACAGCAUAUGAAAUGGAUUUGAUCAAAAUGAAGCCACUUCUACCCCUUGGUGUAAAUUUGCCUGAUGAGAGCAGCAUCAACGUAGCCAAACAAUAUUUACAGAGAGAGGAAGCAAAGUCAAAACAAAAUGAUCCAGACUAUAAAUUUAAUGUCUUAGAAGAAUUAUAUAAAAUUCGUAUCGCGAUUCCCGAUGUUUAUGAUUGUUUCUGCAUGGUCGAAACGUUUGGAUAGAGCACAGCUAUAAGCUAGGGGGAUUUCUCACACAAAAAGUUUGAGAAAAUGUGUAAAAAUUUCUAUUAUUUCUUCUUUUUUAUUGAAAUUGUUUAAAAAUGUACUGAAAUGAGGAUUUUGCUUGAAUAAAGGUGUUCUGGAAGUGGGUUUUGGAGGAUCCUCAGGAUGGGCCAGAUCCGGUUUGACAUUGCCCUGGCCCAUCCUGAAGAUCCACUUCCAGAACCGGGAACAGUUCUGAACGAUCCUUGAGAUCCACCAAAACCCACUUCCAGAACAAUUUCAUUGAAGCAUAAUUCAAAAGCCCAGUGUAAAUGUACAUUUAUCUACACGAAUAGACAAAAAUUGAUCGAAUCGGACCGAAUUGAAGAAAUUUUUCAAAAUUUAUAAGAAUUAAUCCAUUUUUUUCGUGAGAAAUCCCUCUAGGCUAUAAGUGAGUCAUCUUUUUCGUGUUUGUCGCGAAUACAAACAAUCAAACGUAUGUCAAUGAGUGAGCAACGAAUGUACGAUCUUUCAUUUUUGGCCUUUGAAAAUAAAUAUUUACACGCAAUUCCAAAUGAACGUAUUCUUAAGUAUUUUUUUGAUGAAAAGCAACGUAAAAUUAAUAUUCUUUAAGAAAACAUAAUAAUCAUAACAAUCAUUGUUCGCACUUUAUUCAAUAAAUAUUUUUAUCUGGAAA